UACGUAGGGGGCAAGCGUUGUCCGGAAUCAUUGGGCGUAAAGAGCGUGUAGGCGGCCAGAAAAGUCCGCUGUGAAAACUCGAGGCUCAACUUCGAGCUGUCGGUGGAAACUUUCUGGCUAGAGUCCGGAAGAGGAGAAUGGAAUUCCUGGUGUAGCGGUGAAAUGCGCAGAUAUCAGGAAGAACACCCGUGGCGAAGGCGGUUCUCUGGGCCGUAACUGACGCUGAGGAGCGAAAGCAUGGGGAGCGAACAGG
rnacentral:rRNA from 1 species